UACGUAGGGUGCGAGCGUUAACCGGAAUUACUGGGCGUAAAGAGUGCGUAGGCGGUCCCGCAAGUCCGCUGUGAAAGCCCCGGGCUUAACCUGGGAAUGGCAGUGGAAACUAUGGGACUUGAAUCUGGCAGAGGGGGGUGGAAUGCCACGUGUAGCAGUGAAAUGCGUAGAGAUGUGGCGGAACACCGAUGGCGAAGGCAGCCCCCCGGGUCAAGAUUGACGCUCAUGCACGAAAGCGUGGGGAGCAAACAGG
rnacentral:rRNA from 1 species